AAUGGGGGCAACCCUGACGCAGCGACGCCGCGUGGAUGAUGAAGGCCCUUGGGUCGUAAAAUCCUGUCAGAUGGAAAGAAACGUAUAUAUGCUAAUACCGUAUAUAUUUGACGGUACCAUCAAAGGAAGCACCGGCUAACUCCGUGCCAGCAGCCGCGGUAAUACGGAGGGUGCAAGCGUUGUUCGGAAUUACUGGGCGUAAAGCGCGCGUAGGCGGUUUGCUCAGUCAGAUGUGAAAGCCCUCGGCUUAACCGGGGACGUGCAUUUGAUACUGGCAGACUUGAGUACUGGAGGGGGUGGUGGAAUUCCCGGUGUAGAGGUGAAAUUCGUAGAUAUCGGGAGGAAUACCGGUGGCGAAGGCGACCACCUGGCCAGAUACUGACGCUGAGGUGCGAAAGCGUGGGGAGCAAA
rnacentral:rRNA from 1 species